rfam:Bombyx mori DNA, contig: Bm_scaf7_contig6420, strain: p50T/Dazao, build 2, whole genome shotgun sequence.
UUAACCCAAAUUUGUAUGCAGUUGGAACGUUUGCCUACGUUUGGCGCUAGGGGCACUGUUCCAACUUCAUAUAAAUUUGAGUUA